rnacentral:tRNA from 1 species
AUUUCUAUAUUUUUAUAUAGUUUAAAAAAAACAUUACAUUUUCAUUGUAAAGUUAUUUAUCAUAAUUUAUAA